AGUGAACGCUGGCGGCAGGCCUAACACAUGCAAGUCGAGCGGCAGCGCGGGGGCAACCCUGGCGGCGAGCGGCGGACGGGUGAGGAAUUCGUCGGAAUCUGCCUUUUUGUGGGGGAUAACGUAGGGAAACUUACGCUAAUACCGCAUACGUCCUACGGGAGAAAGUGGGGGACCGCAAGGCCUCACGCAGAAAGAUGAGCCGACGACCGAUUAGCUAGUUGGUGGGGUAAAGGCCCACCAAGGCGACGAUCGGUAGCUGGUCUGAGAGGAUGAUCAGCCACACUGGGACUGAGACACGGCCCAGACUCCUACGGGAGGCAGCAGUGGGGAAUAUUGGACAAUGGGCGCAAGCCUGAUCCAGCCAUGCCGCGUGUGUGAAGAAGGCCUUCGGGUUGUAAAGCACUUUUGUCCGGAAAGAAAACCCUGGAGCUAAUACCUUCGGGGGAUGACGGUACCGGAAGAAUAAGCACCGGCUAACUUCGUG
rnacentral:rRNA from 1 species